UUACAUAACCGAUUUUGAAUACCUUGACAAUGAUCGGAAAUGAUCGAAAAAGCUACUAGCUUUAAUGGUUAUCUUUUCAGAGAAAGUGAGAGCUGUAGAUGAAAAAGCUACUAGCUUUAAUGGUCGUCUUUGGAGUCUUCUAACUCAGCUUUAAUGGUGUACAUUAAUGUAUGUUGCUUGUUUUUUGAUUGGCAAUUCAUUAGGGUGUUGCUAGGUGACUUGAGUAACCUGGUUAGAACCUAUUGAUUUUUUUUUUUUGAAAACUAACACAAUAAUUUAUUAAGAGUGCCAAAAAAGCACAGACAAACAGCCAAAGCAAAAAGAACCGUAAAUUUUCUUUCUAUGGUUAGAAUCUAUUGAUAGCCAGCCCCAUUAUACACUUUUUGGCUGGUUGAUCGGAUUCUAUUGAAAUAUACUACUUCGGAUAUCAUAUGUUAAGUGAAUCAUGCUUAGUACAUUUUAAAUUAAAUUUUGCAUUUCAAAUAAAUGCUGCUAUGGCUGAAGGGUGUUACAUACCACUAAUAGUUCAUGCAUACUAUAUCUAUUUUGAUAAGUUGCAUUACUAGGGUGUUGUAAUUUUACAUUUCAUUUGCUUUCUCAUAGAUUGCUGCUGGGACCAUCUAUAACAGGAAAGAAAAACAUGGAUUCUCAUUGGUCAAUGUUGGAGUGAAUUAAGUAGUGAACAUCCAUGCAUUUCCAAAAAAAAAAAAGAACAUUCAGUUUAAUAAAAAAGUUAAUGGGUGCUUCCAGGUCAUUCAUAAUGAUGAAGUUGCAUUGAAAUUGCAGCGUGUUGCUUUUGAGUCCAACUUGGAAGUAACAUAAUUGCCAUUCAGAGCAGAGGAACCGUAAAUAUGAAUGCCAAGGAAGGAAAUCACAAUUGGGCUAUUACUUGACUUUUAAUGGCAUACUCUACUGUCGGUGCCCCUAAUUAUAUUGCUUCAGAGGUUUUGCUGAAGACGGGUUGUGGAAUGGAAUGUGAUUGGUGGUCACUUGGUCAUCAUAUUUGUAGUGUAAGAGUUCCUGUCAUACCUUUUAGUAAAUUUGUCUCUCUUGCUUCAUAUUUGCAGUGUAGUCUUAGGCUCCAUUUGGUCAUCACAUCAAUCUUUAUGAAUAUAUUUUUUUCUCAAACCAAAUGGAGCGUAAGCCAUUUUUAAACUUCGCCAUUGCAACUUCUUGCAUUGCCGGUACCAAGCCUAGGUAAAGGAGGAGGGAGAAGGGCGUCAGGGUGAGUCGUGUCCUUUUCUUCCAUUUUCUGAAGCUGUUAUAGCUUUUGAGUUUACUACAACUAGAUAGUUUUUAAUUGGUGAUAACCACUUUCCCUUGAGAUCAAGCAAGAGCUGGGAGGAAGCAUUUUUUCCAGCCUAGAGGGAGACCACAUCACAUUGGUUAAUGUAUAUCAGGCAUCUGUAGAGUGCUUGGAGACUAGCAAGAUGGCUAACAGUAAAAAGAGACAAUUGGGAAAUGCUUGAGCAAAUGGCAAAUUAGCAACAUAACAAACGGGACCCCAUCAUUGGCAUUUAUUAGGAAAAUAAAGAACUAAAGUACCUUGUGUAAGGAAGAGACCAUCUAGUUGUAAAAUUCAUUGCAGAGGAAUUGGGUCUGGAGGGCUCUUAUGUUCCCCGUACUUACAUUGAACAGAUUCAGCUUGAGAAGCUUGUAAAUGAUGUUAUGGCACUACCAAAUGAUUUGAAGACAAAGCUCAGCAUCGACGAUGAUAUAGCAUUAAGUCUCAAAGACGCACUUUCCUGGGCCUCUGCAGGCAUGAUUGCCUUGAGAAAUAAGAAUCUUAAGAGGUACUGUUUCUAAUCCUUUCCUCCAUAUUUCCAGACAUAGGUUGGAUAGAAGAGUUGACUGAGCAAGUUGGGGAUCAGUCAGCUGUGUCAUAGGACUCGCAUUUAUGUUUCUUGACUGUUAGUCAAGUUCUCUAGCUCAAUAAUUUAAAUUGCCUCUCUCACUGUUGGCAAGCAAAUUGUUGUGGAUUUAGUGCCAUGUUUG